UACGAAGGGGGGCUAGCGUUGCUCGGAAUCACUGGGCGUAAAGCGCACGUAGGCGGCUUUCUAAGUCAGGGGUGAAAUCCUGGAGCUCAACUCCAGAACUGCCUUUGAUACUGGAGAGCUUGAGUCCGGAAGAGGUGAGUGGAACUCCGAGUGUAGAGGUGAAAUUCGUAGAUAUUCGGAAGAAACACCAGUGGCGAAGGCGGCUCACUGGUCCGGUACUGACGCUGAUGUGCGAAAAGCGUGGGGAGCAAACAG
rnacentral:rRNA from 1 species